rnacentral:sRNA from 1 species
UUGGGCUUCCUAAUGAGAAAGGGAGCAAGGAGCUCCUGGGCUUUGUUUGCACCAGUCUGCCGGGCACUCCUUUCCCUGCUCAGCCCUAUUUAGUGCCUGUGCUUUUGCUGGAAGCCAGUGAGUUAGCCUUAGGCCCUGAGGAUGGGCGCUGCUACCAGGAAUAGGGGAGCUGUGGUGAGCCCGUCAUCUGCUUUGCAGUUCCCUGGACUCCCUGCUUUAUAUUUGAGGCUUUCUCUUAUCAGUUUAGAUGUGGCCUCCCAAGGGCAGUCUUGGGUUUUGAUGGAAGUCAUCAUUUCACCCACACACAAGUUACUGUUAUUUGGUGUGGUGAUGGAUAUCAACCCCUGCCCAGAGGCCCUGCAGCCUCCAUUGCUGCUCUCUCUGGCCACAUCUCCCAGAGGCUGGGUUCAGAAGCUGGGGAGGACCUAGAGCUUCCCUCCCUCUACGAUCUUGGGAUCAGGAGCAGUGUUUCUAGAAUCUCAUGCUAUGUGUAUUUACCUCCCACAAGAAGAGACUGCAGCGAUACCAGGGUGGGCUUCCAGAGCAGGCUUCCAGAGCCGGGGGUGAGGGGUGAAGGGGAGAGCAAGCUGGGGUUUGCAGAAGGGGGUAUGUGUAAUUGUGCCAUGCUCUUUGGGCUGUCAGCUUCCACCCCUUCCCCAGCUCUUUGACACCUUGGUGGGGGUCCAGGCAUUUGUAGGUACCCUCAGGAGCACAGGCACCCACAACCUGUCACUGGGCCAUGCACCCCAGGGCCCAGGCAGAGCUGCCACCUCGCUGUCUCCAAGCUGACCUUGCCUGGCGCUAGCUCUGGAGCCUGCUGCAGUCCCCAUCCUGUCCUACCUGCCCAGUGUGCGCCCAUUCCACAUACUGCUCUUGUUGGCAGGGUGGGCUGUGGUCCUGCUGGGAGGGACCUGGGAGCUUCAAGGCAGGCUAGGGCAGGCUGAAUCUAGAGGAGGGAAGGGAGGGAGGAAUCAAGGUAUAAGAAAAAAACUGCUUCUCUCUACUCUCACACCACUCACCUCUGGUCACCAAAUAAAGUGGGGAUGUUUCUCCCCACCAACAAAAUCUAUAAAUGGAAAGGUUUUCCCUGAGUUCUACGAGCGAUCCUUGCAAAUUAGUUAAACCCGAGGAGGGAAACACGGUUACUGGUUUAUUAUACAGGAUCUUAUCAAGGAUAGGGAGGAACAGCCAGGUGAGGAGAGGCACAGGGCAGGGCAUGUGGGAAAGGGUGGGCACCUCUCUGCCCUCUCUGAGGCACUGCCCUUCAGGGGCCUCUGCAUGGUCCACCCUCCAGAAGCUCCAAACCCUAACCUUUUCGGUUUCUAUGGAGGCUUCGUUAUGAAGGGCAUGAUCUAUUACAUCACUGGCUGUUGGUGAUUAACUCAACCUUCAGCCUCUCCGCCCUUGUAGGUCAGUGUGUGGGACUGAAAGUUCCAACCCUUUAAUCACAGGGUUGGUUCCCCUGGCAACCAGCCCCAUCCUGAAACUAUCCAGGAGCUGAAGAGUCACCUCAUUCCAGCAAAGGAUGCUCCUAUCACCCAGGAAAUCCCAGGGGAUUUAGGAUCUCUGCAUCAGAUGCUGCUGUCACUCAGAAAGGUACAAAGGUCUUAGGAGCUCUGCCUCAGGAACCAGGGGGCAGAGUCCAAAUAUGUAUUUCCGACCAUAUCACAAUAUCACACAAGGUAGUCCUGGCCCAGAGCCUGCUAAGUGCCAGGCAAUAGGACACACAUUCUCUCGUGCAGUCCUUCCCACAAACUCGGGAGACAGGUAUAACUCUCCCCAUUUUACUAAAUGAGGAACUGAGCUCAGAAGUUCUGUGCUUUACGCCAAGUCUCAGCACUGGCCCAUGGUGGAGCUGGGCCCAUACCCUUCCCCUGGUCUUGCUGGUCCCUGAGCAGCUGCCUGCAGCCCUCCGGGAACAAGGGGUCUCUGGAAGAGGGUGGCCGCAGUCUGGCAGUCUACCUUUCUGUCUGAGGGGGCUUGGUUCCUGAUUUUCUUCUCUUCUUUGCUUGGCUUGUCUAACUCGCAGGUUUUGGGGGCUUUUGGGUAAUGAUUGGGUCUGAGUAUCACGUUUACCCCAUGCCCCUGCUGAGUGAAGCUGUGAAUGCCCCAGGGCUGGGGGGCAGGAGACCAGAGUACAGUCUGGAAUCUUGAAUUUAUUUGCUAAGCGGCCUCAGAUAGACCGUUCCCUUCUCUGGGAUUCAUGUACGUAUCUGUGCAAUGAGAGGCUCAGGAACUUUGGAAGGCCUUGCACCCCACGGUGGAUGUAACAGUCCCAUGGCGGCCCACCCAGGACUAAAAGGCUUUUGGUUUUUAAUCUUUUUUUUCCUUGAAUUUUUUUAUUGUGUUAAAAUAUACAUGACAUAAAAUUUACCACCUUAACUUUUUUUUUUUUUUUUUUUGAGACAGUGUUUUACUCUUGUUGCUCAGGCUGGAGUACAAUGGUACGAUCUCAGCUCACUGCAACCUCUGCCUCCCAGGUUCAAGUGAUUCUCCAGCCUCAGCCUCCCAAGUAGCUGAGAUUACAGGCAUGCACCACCAUGCCUGGCUAAUUUUGUAUUUUUAGUAGAGACGUGGUUUCUCUAUGUUGGUCAGGCUGGUCUUGAACUCCGGACCUCAGGUGAUCCACCCAUCUCGGCCUCCCAAAGUACUGGGAUUACAGGCAUGAGCCACCACACCCAGCCAGCCUUAACCAUUUUUUAAGGGUACGGUUUAGUGGUAUUAAAUACAUCCUUCAUGUGCAACCCUCACCAUCUUUCCACUCCAGAACUCUUAGUUGUUGUAAAACUGGAACUCUGUACCCACUAAACAACAGCAACCACUGUUCUACUGCCUGUCUCUACGAUUUUGACUACUCUAGGUACCACAUAUAGGUGGAAUCCUAGAGUACUUGUGUUUUUGCGGCCACAGGGUUUUAUUUAGUUUCUUUUCUCCACCUCCAGAAUCCCCGCAUUCUGCUCCUGGCUGGUUUUGCUUCUCCUGGGUCGUGGGGUGCUAUUUGCAUGUGGGUGAGGAGCCCUCUCCCCAUCCAUCCUGCUUGUGUUUUCCUCCUGGGUGCUAACUGGCCUCUACCUUUGUCUCUGUCUCCUCUGCCUCUGCUCUUGGUUAGCUGACGGUAGGGAAAGUGUCCAGCGGAAUAGGGGCUGCAGCUGAAGUCCUGGUCAAUCUGUACAUGAAUGAUCACAGACCUAAGGCCCAGGCCACCUCUCCAGACCUGGAAUCUAUGCGAAAGUCAUUUCCCCUUAACCUGGGAGGCAGCGACACAUGUUACUUCUGUAAGAAACGUGUGUACGUGAUGGAACGGCUGAGCGCCGAGGGCCACUUCUUCCACCGGGAGUGUUUCCGCUGCAGCAUCUGUGCCACCACCUUGCGCCUGGCCGCCUACACCUUUGACUGCGAUGAAGGCAAAUUUUACUGCAAGCCUCACUUCAUUCACUGUAAAACCAAUAGCAAACAACGGAAGAGACGGGCAGAGUUGAAGCAACAAAGAGAGGAGGAGGCAACAUGGCAAGAGCAGGAAGCCCCUCGGAGAGACACUCCCACCGAAAGUUCUUGCGCAGUGGCCGCCAUUGGCACCCCAGAAGGCAGCCCCCCAGUUCAUUUCAGCCUUCCAGUGCUACACCCACUUCUUGGCUGACACACUUCUGCUCUAAGGUGACUGGUUUUCUUGCCAAUUUUCAAAGAGUGGUACUAACCCCCAACCCGCUUUCCGCACCCCGUCCUCUCCGCCAGCAGUACUGGUUGCACUAACUAGUCUCCCUCCCUUUAUAGAAUGUCAACCAAAGAGUGCUCUCCUACCCUCUCAGCCUCCUCUUUAGCUAGCCUCCCCAUCUCAUCACAACGCAUGUCUGUGACCUUUGGUAAUCAUUUACAGUGCCACAUGGAACCCUGUAUUUUGCACACAGCAAAACAAACAAUGUUUAGCUUUAUUUAUGGUAUUUGAUGCUGUAAAUGGAAAUAAAUAUUGUUCUUUAUAAAGC